rnacentral:rRNA from 1 species
GACGAACCGUCCAAACGUUAUUCGGAAUUAUUGGGCUUAAAGGGUGCGUAGGCUGUGCAGUAAGUUGGGUGUGAAAUCCCUCGGCUCAACCGAGGAACUGCGCCGAAUACUGCUGUGCUAGAGGAAGAUAGGGGUAAGCGGAACUGAUGGUGGAGCGGUGAAAUGCGUAGAUAUCGUUUGGAACGCCAAUGGUGAAAACAGGUUGCUGGGAGUGUGCUGACGCUGAGACACGAAAGCCAGGGGAGCGAACGGG